UACGGAGGGGGCGAGCGUUAUUCGGAAUUACUGGGCGUAAAGGGAGCGUAGGCGGACAUUUAAGUCAGGGGUGAAAUCCCAGAGCUCAACUCUGGAACUGCCUUUGAUACUGAGAGGCUUGAGUCCGGGAGAGGUGAGUGGAACUGCGAGUGUAGAGGUGAAAUUCGUAGAUAUUCGCAAGAACACCAGUGGCGAAGGCGGCUCACUGGUCCGGUACUGACGCUGAGGUGCGAAAGCGUGGGGAGCAAACAGG
rnacentral:rRNA from 1 species